rnacentral:rRNA from 1 species
UAGCCGUAAACGAUACUCGCUAGGUGUCGGCCACGGUGCGACCGUUGUCGGUGCCGUAGGGAAGCCGUGAAGCGAGCCACCUGGGAAGUACGGCCGCAAGGCUGAAACUUAAAGGAAUUGGCGGGGGAGCACAACAACGGGUGGAGCUUGCGGUUUAAUUGGAUUCAACGCCGGAAAUCUUACCGGGACCGACAGCAACAUGAAGGCCAAGCUGAAGACUUUGCCGGAUUAGCUGAGAGGAGGUGCAUGGCGUGUGACUGU